rnacentral:rRNA from 1 species
AGAGUUUGAUCAUGGCUCAGAUUGAACGCUGGCGGCAGGCCUAACACAUGCAAGUCGAGCGGUAGCACAGAGAGCUUGCUCUCGGGUGACGAGCGGCGGACGGGUGAGUAAUGUCUGGGAAACUGCCUGAUGGAGGGGGAUAACUACUGGAAACGGUAGCUAAUACCGCAUAACGUCGCAAGACCAAAGUGGGGGACCUUCGGGCCUCAUGCCAUCAGAUGUGCCCAGAUGGGAUUAGCUAGUAGGUGGGGUAAUGGCUCACCUAGGCGACGAUCCCUAGCUGGUCUGAGAGGAUGACCAGCCACACUGGAACUGAGACACGGUCCAGACUCCUACGGGAGGCAGCAGUGGGGAAUAUUGCACAAUGGGCGCAAGCCUGAUGCAGCCAUGCCGCGUGUAUGAAGAAGGCCUUCGGGUUGUAAAGUACUUUCAGCGAGGAGGAAGGCGUUAAGGUUAAUAACCUUGGCGAUUGACGUUACUCGCAGAAGAAGCACCGGCUAACUCCGUGCCAGCAGCCGCGGUAAUACGGAGGGUGCAAGCGUUAAUCGGAAUUACUGGGCGUAAAGCGCACGCAGGCGGUCUGUCAAGUCGGAUGUGAAAUCCCCGGGCUCAACCUGGGAACUGCAUUCGAAACUGGCAGGCUAGAGUCUUGUAGAGGGGGGUAGAAUUCCAGGUGUAGCGGUGAAAUGCGUAGAGAUCUGGAGGAAUACCGGUGGCGAAGGCGGCCCCCUGGACAAAGACUGACGCUCAGGUGCGAAAGCGUGGGGAGCAAACAGGAUUAGAUACCCUGGUAGUCCACGCCGUAAACGAUGUCGACUUGGAGGUUGUGCCCUUGAGGCGUGGCUUCCGGAGCUAACGCGUUAAGUCGACCGCCUGGGGAGUACGGCCGCAAGGUUAAAACUCAAAUGAAUUGACGGGGGCCCGCACAAGCGGUGGAGCAUGUGGUUUAAUUCGAUGCAACGCGAAGAACCUUACCUACUCUUGACAUCCAGAGAACUUAGCAGAGAUGCUUUGGUGCCUUCGGGAACUCUGAGACAGGUGCUGCAUGGCUGUCGUCAGCUCGUGUUGUGAAAUGUUGGGUUAAGUCCCGCAACGAGCGCAACCCUUAUCCUUUGUUGCCAGCGGUUAGGCCGGGAACUCAAAGGAGACUGCCAGUGAUAAACUGGAGGAAGGUGGGGAUGACGUCAAGUCAUCAUGGCCCUUACGAGUAGGGCUACACACGUGCUACAAUGGCAUAUACAAAGAGAAGCGACCUCGCGAGAGCAAGCGGACCUCAUAAAGUAUGUCGUAGUCCGGAUUGGAGUCUGCAACUCGACUCCAUGAAGUCGGAAUCGCUAGUAAUCGUAGAUCAGAAUGCUACGGUGAAUACGUUCCCGGGCCUUGUACACACCGCCCGUCACACCAUGGGAGUGGGUUGCAAAAGAAGUAGGUAGCUUAACCUUCGGGAGGGCGCUUACCACUUUGUGAUUCAUGACUGGGGUGAAGUCGUAACAAGGUAACCGUAGGGGAACCUGCGGUUG